rnacentral:rRNA from 1 species
CGAACGGCUGAGUAACACGUGGGCAACCUGCCCUUUGCACUGGGAUAGCCUCGGGAAACCGAGGUUAAUACCGGAUACUCCAUAUCCAUCGCAUGAUAGAUAUGGGAAAGCUCCGGCGGCAAAGGAUGGGCCCGCGGCCUGUUAGCUAGUUGGUGGGGUAGUGGCCUACCAAGGCAAUGAUGGGUAGCCGGGUUGAGAGACCGACCGGCCAGAUUGGGACUGAGACACGGCCCAGACUCCUACGGGAGGCAGCAGGC